rnacentral:rRNA from 1 species
UACGAAGGGGGCUAGCGUUGUUCGGAUUUACUGGGCGUAAAGCGCACGUAGGCGGUUUGUUAAGUGAGAGGUGAAAAUCCCAGAGCUCAACUCUGGAACUGCCUUUCAUACUGGCAAGCUAGAGUCCGGAAGAGGUAAGUGGAACUCCUAGUGUAGAGGUGGAAUUCGUAGAUAUUAGGAAGAACACCAGUGGCGAAGGCGGCUUACUGGUCCGGAACUGACGCUGAGGUGCGAAAGCUGGGGAGCAACAG